UACGGGGGGGGCAAGCGUUGUUCGGAAUUACUGGGCGUAAAGGGCUCGUAGGCGGCCAACUAAGUCAGACGUGAAAUCCCUCGGCUUAACCGGGGAACUGCGUCUGAUACUGGAUGGCUUGAGUUUGGGAGAGGGAUGCGGAAUUCCAGGUGUAGCGGUGAAAUGCGUAGAGAUCGGAAGGAACGUCAAUGGCGAAGGCAGCCACCUGGCAUGAUACUGACGCUGAGGCGCGAAAGCGUGGGUAGCGAACAGG
rnacentral:rRNA from 1 species